AUUGCUUCUCGGCCUUUUGGCUAAGAUCAAGUGUAGCAUGAUAUUUUGAAAUAUAUAUACAUUAUGGAAUGGCUAAAUGGAACCAAU
rfam:Tupaia chinensis contig28483, whole genome shotgun sequence.